GAAAUGCGAUAAGUAAUGUGAAUUGCAGAAUUCAGUGAAUCAUCGAAUCUUUGAACGCACCUUGCGCCCCUUGGUAUUCCGAGGGGCAUGCCUGUUUGAGUGUCAUUAAAUUCUCAAACUCACAUUUAUUUGUGAUGUUUGGAUUGUUGGGGGUUGCUGGCUGUAACAAGUCGGCUCCUCUUAAAUGCAUUAGCAGGACUUUUCAUUGCCUCUGCGCAUGAUGUGAUAAUUAUCACUCAUCAAUAGCACGCAUGAAUAGAGUCCAGCUCUCUAAUCGUCCGCAAGGACAWUUUGACAAUUUGACCUCAAAUCAGGUAGGACUACCCGCUGAACUUAA
rnacentral:rRNA from 1 species